rnacentral:rRNA from 1 species
AUUGAACGCUGGCGGCAGGCCUAACACAUGCAAGUCGAGCGGAUGAAGGGAGCGUUCUCCUGUAUUCAGCGGCGGACGGGUGGGUAAUGCCUACGAAUCUGCCUGGUAGUGGGGGAUAGCGUACGUUAACGGGCGCUAAUACCGUAUACGUUCAUAGGUAGAAAGGGGUGGAUCAUCGGAGCUCACGCUAUUAGCUGACCCUAGGUCGGAUUAGCUAGUUGGUGUGGUAAAGGCCUACCAAGGCGACGAUCCGUAACUGGUCUGAGAGGAUGAUCAGACACACUGGAACUGAGACACGGUCCAGACUCCUACGGGAGGCAGCAGUAGGGAAUAUUGCACAAUGGGCGAAAGCCUGAUCCAGCAAUGCCGCGUGUGUGAAGAAGGUCUUCGGAUUGUAAAGCACUUUAAGUUGGGAGGAAGGAAAGUAAGUUAAUACCUUGAUGUUUUGACGUUACCAAAAGAGUAAGCACCGGCUAACUUCGUG